GGGCGUGUAGCUCAGUUGGCUAGAGCAUUUCGUUGACGUCGAAAAGGUCAGAGGUUCGAGUCCUCUCACGCCCACAA
rnacentral:tRNA from 1 species